AUGAAGGCUAGAAGAGUGAAGAGAUAAGGAGAGAGACGAGCUUUUCUGAUAAGGACAGAGGAGGAAGAAGAAGAAGAAAGAACAAAGAUGAAUAAGAAACAGCAGUAAAGCCCAAAGAAUAAGAAGGUUUGAGUCCUAAAUAAAGCGAACCCAUUUCAAUCGCUCGCCACAAAUCCAAAAUAUAAGGGAAGAAUAAGAACAGAGAACAAAGAAUAAUAACAAGUAGCAGCAAAGCCCAAAGAGGAAAAUGAGAAGCAUUUGACUGAAGAAGAAGAAGAAGAAGCAAUGGUUUCUCUACUCUCUAGGCGUCGUUUUCUUUAUGAUAAAAUUGGGCUACUUUUUGAAUUAAUAUAUGUUUGGUUUAAUGAGUUUUAGAGGGCAAAUAUAAGGCCCAUUUUUUUCAUAAUAAGGAAAAGCCCAUUGGUUGCAUAAUAAGAAAACUAAAUUAUAAGGCAUGCUCUACAAAAAGCCCAUCAUAUUCAAGUAUUACUGUAUUUUUAAAUUUAAUUAAUAAAAAGAAGUAAAUUGAAGAAAAUAAUAAAUUUUUAAGACUUUCUUUCUAUUAAAAUUAAUCUUGUAAAAUAU
rnacentral:misc_RNA from 1 species